CAAGACUAAAUUCUUACCUUUCCCGGCAUGGAUCUUCCAUCAAUGCUUUUCUACCUGGGCACAGUGUUGGUGCCGUGGUGCUAUGGAUUCAGUGUGGAUGUGGAGACACCAACGAUCUUCCAAGGGCAAAGUCAGAGUUUUGGGAUAAGUGUUGCCCAGAACAGGAAUAAGGUGCUCAUUGGGGCCCCAUUCGAGACAGGACAGGUGAACGAAAU